UCUCAGUUCGGACUGCAGGCUGCAACUCGCCUGCACGAAGUCGGAAUUGCUAGUAAUCGUAGGUCAGCAUACUACGGUGAAUACGUUCCCGGGCCUUGUACACACCGCCCGUCAAACCAUGGAAGCCGGGGGUGCCUGAAGUGCGCUGCCGCAAGGAGCGCCCUAGGGUAAAACCGGUGACUGGGGCUAAGUCGUAACAAGGUACC
rnacentral:rRNA from 1 species